rnacentral:rRNA from 1 species
UACGUAGGGUGCGAGCGUUAAUCGGAAUUACUGGGCGUAAAGCGUGCGCAGGCGGCUUUGCAAGACAGAUGUGAAAUCCCCGGGCUUAACCUGGGAACUGCAUUUGUGACUGCAAGGCUGGAGUGCGGCAGAGGGGGAUGGAAUUCCGCGUGUAGCAGUGAAAUGCGUAGAUAUGCGGAGGAACACCGAUGGCGAAGGCAAUCCCCUGGGCCUGCACUGACGCCCAUGCACGAAAGCGUGGGGAGCAAACAGG